UUUCCCUACGGGAGGCAGCAGUGGGGAAUAUUGGGCAAUGGGCGCAAGCCUGACCGAGCAACGCCGCGUGAAGGAAGAAGGAAUUCGUUCUGUAAACUUCUGUUAUAAAGGAAGAAAGACGGAUGGAGGAAAUGACAUCCGAGUGACGGUACUUUAUGAGAAAGCCACGGCUAACUACGUGCCAGCAGCCGCGGUAAUACGUAGGUGGCAAGCGUUAUCCGGAAUUAUUGGGCGUAAAGAGGGAGCAGGCGGCAGCAAAGGUCUGUGGUGAAAGACUGAAGCUUAACUUCAGUAAGCCAUAGAAA
rnacentral:rRNA from 1 species